UCUGGAGGGCUCAAGGAGUAGAAGGGCAACGUGGCUCCUGGUUUAUAAUUAAUUCCUUUCUUUUUUAAGGAAAGUAAUCAGGAGGGUUCUCAUGAAGUUGAGUGUUUUCUCCUAGUGAAAUAGUCUCGGAGGCAUCACCCCGGGCUUUCUGGAACGGAGCAGAGCAACUCCUGGAGGCCAGCGGAGCAGAACAGCAGCUGGCGGGGACAGUGAUCGGGAGCUCUGUGUUCCUGCCGUGGGAUGGCGUUGACGGGCUCAGAGGACGUGUCCACAUCGCCUCCGCCAGCUGUCAGCCCAGAGGCUACUGAGCAGGUCCUGGGAAGGGUCCGCAUCGUGGGACGGGGCAGGGAGCACCAAGGAUCUGCCCUGCGAGGCCACUGGCCGCCCCAGCCCGCCGCUGGCUCCAGGUGACAGGCAGCCCAUCCUACAUGAUUUGCCUGGGACAGGACACCCCGGUUUUCUUCUUCCAGAUAGAUUCUAAAUGAAAACUAUUCGAGAAAAGAAAGACAGGCAGAGUACCUCUUGUGGAGUGAAAUGCAAUCCUACAACUGCCAAGGGAUUACUGUCCAAACACCCGGCACUUUGGGGGUUUGAGGAGAGUACGUGGAAAUGUAAGAAGAUGAAUCUACACAGCAUGUCGCUGAAAACCACGGGGAGGAGAUGCUCUGCAAAGGAACAUGGGUGUUAGGUUAUGUGAAACAAAGCCAGGGAGCUGUGGUUUCCCAAGCCAGAGCUUCUGGAAACCCAUCUUAUUAUGGGCAUUAUGUAACUUCAUAGAUGUAAUAAG